UCACAGGGGCACAGAGCAUCACAGGGGCACAGAGCAUCACAGCUCUGCAGUCAGCAGCCUCUCUCCUUGUUCAGUGAGCUGCAAUGCCAAGAAAUCCCUGCCAUUCUCUCCCCUGGUGACAGCUGAGGUGGCACUCCUGGCUCCCCAGCCUCAGCGUGGGCCAGGUGCAUCGCUCAGUGCCACACACUGGAUAGAAGUCUUGUGAGGCACUCCUACCACAGGGAUAGAAGAUCCACAGCUUCUCCAGGUAACCCGUACCAGGCCUCACCAUCCUCACAAUAAAGACUUCCUUCCUGAACUCCUUUUCAGCUCUCUUGCAGCCCAUCUUGCUACUGGAAAACUUGCUCUUCUCCUGGCUGAACAAACCCAAUUCUCUCAGGCUGUCUUCACAGAAAUGCUCCAGCUCUCUGAUCACUUCCAUGGCCCUCCUCUGGACAUGCUCCAUCAGAUGGACUCAGCCAGAAACCUAAACCACCGCAGCUGGAUCCAGCAAAGCCAGGGCUUGGCUGGGCAGCUUGCCUCCUCUCUGUCUCACAGGACAGAUCCCAGACUCCAGAUAACCUUGAAAAGCCCUGCUUACAAUAUCACUGAAACACCAUGGACUUCCAGAGAUCAGCAUCCAAAUUCUGCACAGAGAUUAAGCUGUGUUUUUAAUGCUCUCCACAACUGGAAACAGAAAAAAGUUGAGGAGCUUUCUGUUUCAGACAGCCUCUUCCGUCCUGGAUGAACACUCCUUUCCCUGAGUCCUCGCACUCAGCUCCCUGCAGAUGCACCUCAGAUGCUCCAGUCAGCCUUGUGCAGAGCCCAGUUAUCAAGCUGCAUUGUACAAAUGGAUUUCCAAAUGUAUGAUAAACAUGUCUGGAAACUAUUACUAUCCUCACGAGUAUUUGUGUCCCACAAGAGUUGAAACGAGAAUCCUGACAAUGUGAAGAGAUUUACCUCACUGGGAUGUUACAUAGAUUUCAUAUGUUUCAACAUAAUAUUGUUAAGGUAUAUAUUAUAAUGAAAAUACAACUUGUCACAUGCUCAUUUCUGUCCCAUCCGUGCCACUUCCCUAAAGAAGGAGCCCUGCAGACAGAAGGGUUUCAAAACACGUCUGCAGUUACUGCUCUGGAGCUGUGCUCUGUCAGAGGCUUGGUGU